UACAGAGGCCCCAAGCGUUAGGCGGAAUCACUGGGCUUAAAGCGUGUGUAGGCGGGUUGGUAAGUACUUUGUGAAAUCCCACGGCUUAACUGUGGAAUUGCUUGGUAUACUGCCGAUCUUGAGUCACUCAGGGGCGAGCGGAACAAAUGGUGGAGCGGUGAAAUGCGUAGAUAUCAUUUGGAACGCCAAUGGUGAAAACAGCUCGCUGGGGGUGCACUGACACUGAGACACGAAAGCCAGGGGAGGCGAACGGG
rnacentral:rRNA from 1 species